ensembl:snRNA U2 U2 spliceosomal RNA
AUUUUAUUUAAGCCUUUUGGCUAAGAUCAAGUGUAGUAUCUGUUCUUAUCAGUUUAAAUUUUAGUUAAAUGAUAGUAGUAACUUCCCUCUAUUGAGCCUUU